rnacentral:lncRNA from 1 species
GAAGAAUCCCCUAGCAUCUUUCUAUCGGUCUCUAGUUUUUGAAGAGGGGUGGUGGCGGUGGCAUGUCAGCAUGGACAUGCACUGGGACUUAUACUAGAACAGGGGGUGGUGGAGAUGGAACUUAGACUGGGACUGGUGGAUCUGGUGCAUGCAGUGGAAUUGGAUCCAUGGAAAAAAGAGGGGAUUUUGAUCAAUAGCUUUUUGAGGAGUGUAAAAGAGAAGUUGGAUGAGAGGGUAUUAG